UACGAAGGGGGCUAGCGUUGUUCGGAAUCACUGGGAGUAAAGGGCGCGUAGGCGGCUUUGUAAGUCGGGGGUGAAAGCCUGUGGCUCAACCACAGAAUUGCCUUCGAUACUGCAUGGCUUGAGACCGGAAGAGGUUAGUGGAACUGCGAGUGUAGAGGUGAAAUUCGUAGAUAUUCGGAAGAACACCAGUGGCGAAGGCGGCUCACUGGACCGGUAUUGACGCUGAGGUGCGAAAGCGUGGGGAGCAAACAGG
rnacentral:rRNA from 1 species